UACGUAGGGUGCAAGCGUUAAUCGGAAUUACUGGGCGUAAAGCGUGCGCAGGCGGUUCUAUAAGACAGAUGUGAAAUCCCCGGGCUCAACCUGGGAACUGCAUUUGUGACUGUAGAGCUGGAGUACGGCAGAGGGGGAUGGAAUUCCGCGUGUAGCAGUGAAAUGCGUAGAUAUGCGGAGGAACACCGAUGGCGAAGGCAAUCCCCUGGGCCUGUACUGACGCUCAUGCACGAAAAGCGUGGGGGAGCAAACAGG
rnacentral:rRNA from 1 species